UCCCUCUUGCUCUUUCUACUUCUUUGCUAAAAAUCCCUAGUAAUCCCAUUUCCCUCUAAUUUUCUUGCGAUUCGCUCUCUAGGGUUUCGAUCUUGCUGCAGAAAAAAAAAAUAAUGGCUCUUAGGAGGAUUCGAUCGAGCAAGCAGGAAGCGCUUGCCGAAAGAGGCUGAAGACUCUUCGAGCCAAUUCGAAACUGGAACGAGCCAGGAAUUGCAUUGGUCUAGAGCUAAAUGAGUAGAACUAGGCCCAUUCCAUACCAACACAUCUAUAUUUUGGAUCCAGGAGAUGAAGAGGAAUCGACCAAGCAAGCUGCCAACGCUCACCGCAAGAGGCUGAUGACCCUUUGAGCGCCCAAGAACUCUUUUCCACGCUAGAUGAUGGACCAAUUCUCAACAAAAAUAAGAUCCUUUUGUGAAAUUUGCUCCCGAGAAGCCAAAUUGGGACCUGCGAAGUGACGUGCAAAAGAGGCUCGACAAGCUUGACAGGCGCACGCAAAAAGCAAUAUACGAGCUUAUGCGUGAGUACAUUAACUUGCAUAGGUUACAGAUGAUCAAGAAAGGUAGAAAGAAGCAGGAGAGGUAGAAAACAGUACAAAAGGAUGAUUAUGAGACUUUCUUCAUACACCCCCUUCAGAGUCUAUGAGAGAGAUCCAAAGACUUCCACAGGAAAUACAUAAAAAAUCAUGAUUCUGGAGAUUUUUUGUAUCAUUUUUGUUGAAUUGGGGGUGAAGCCCAAACCUUGCAGGCAAGCUUCUCCAGGCGAGGAUGAAGCUCAGGCGAGGAGCUCCAGCGAGCUCGAGGGGACGACGCAAGCGAGCUGAAGGCGAGCUCGAGAUCCAGAGUUGCAGGCGAUCUCGUGAGCGGGCGAGGUCGUUGCAGGCGAGUUUGGGCGUUUUGGUGGCGAACUCGAACGGGUUGGAACAGACGAGCUUGUGUUCACUUCGGGCGAGCUCGAAGGACUUUAGGCGAGUUCGUGUCUGGCAGAGUCGUAGGCGAGCUCGCGCAUGGCUGACGACAGCCUGUCGCCAGCCUUAGAGUUCCCUUAUAAAAGGGAACCCAAAACCCUAGCCCCCUAUGCUGCUUCCCCUCUCUCUCGCGAUCUCUAGAAACCCCUGGCGGCGGAUCUCUUUCUCUCUCUGUUCCGUUUCUCUCCAGCUCUCAAUCGUGUUUUGAGGGGAGACAUUAAGAAGGGAAUUAAAGAGGGGUGAAGGGAAUUAAAGGGGUAUUAAAGAGGAACACUGUAGCUACAGUGUUACCGUUGUAUUUACUGAGAGAUCUCAGUUUGAGAUCGGCUCAAGCUUUGUAAUUUCUUGUUGUUUAAUAAGAAAUUUUCAGUGUGGUUCCCGAGGACGUAGGCAGUUGCCAAACCUCGUAAAUCUUGGUGUACUUUUCUCUAUAUUGCGUUUCUGCUGCGUAAGGGGUUUUGGCGUAAAUUCCCAAUAACUGGUAUCAGAGCGUGAAACGAUCUAGAGGAAGUCAGAUUCAAGUGAGAGUCAUGACCGCAGAUGAAGGAAAAAUGAGACUUGAGAAGUUUGAUGGAACAGAUUUCAGAUUUUUCUAGAAAAUACAGAUAGAGGAUUAUCUGUAUCAGAAAAAUCUGUAUCAACCACUAUCGGGGAAGAAGCCAGAUUCUAUGAAGGCAGAUAAGUGGAAUCUUCUAGAUAGACAAGCCCUCGGAGUUAUCAGAUUGACGUUGACUCGCAAUGUUGCGUUUAACAUAGCGAAGGAGAAGACCAUGACGGGUCUUA